AUUGAACGCUGGCGGCAGGCCUAACACAUGCAAGUCGAACGAGUGGCGGACGGGUGAGUAAUGUAUGGGGAACUGCCUGAUAGAGGGGGAUAACUACUGGAAACGGUGGCUAAUACCGCAUACUAUCGGAUGUACCCAGAUGGGAUUAGCUUGUUGGUGGGGUAAAGGCUCACCGAGGCGACGAUCCCUAGCUGGUCUGAGAGGAUGACCAGCCACACUGGGACUGAGACACGGCCCAGACUCCUACGGGAGGCAGCAGUGGGGAAUAUUGCACAAGGGGCGCAAGCCUGAUGCAGCCAUGCCGCGUGUAUGAAGAAGGCCUUAGGGUUGUAAAGUACUUUCAGCGGGGAGGCGUUACCCGCAGAAGAAGCACCGGCUAACUCCGUGCCAGCAGCCGCGGUAAUAC
rnacentral:rRNA from 1 species